rnacentral:rRNA from 1 species
CGGACGGGUGAGUAACGCGUGGAAAACCUGCCGUAUACUGGGGGAUAACACUUAGAAAUAGGUGCUAAUACCGCAUAAGCGCACAGACCCGCAUGGGACAGUGUGGAAAACAAAAGCUAAAGCUUUUUAUGGUAUACGAUGGUUCCGCGUCUGAUUAGCUUGUUGGCGGGUAACGGCCCACCAAGGCGACGAUCAGUAGCCGGCCUGAGAGGGUGAACGGCCACAUUGGGACUGAGACACGGCCCAGACUCCUACGGAAGGCAGCAG